UGCUGAGCCUGGGAACGGAGCUUCCUAGGCAGAAAACUGGCUGUGCGUGGUUUCCUGAGUGUGGUGGAUGGGUUUGUGAGUCCCAGUGGGAGUCCCAGAAGAAGCGUCACUGACUUGCUGUGUGACCUCGGGCAACUCACUUAACAUCUCUGGUCCUUGUGGCCUUCUCGCUAAAAUGAGGCCAGGUGAACAGAAGAUCUCCAAUGGUCCCUCCAGCUCUGAAAGCUCCAGGGCACUGACUCGCACAGACCAACCGAUCGUGAGGCGGACAAGGGAGAUCACAGUGCUGUCUGCUCUGGGCUGGGCCUGGAGCGAUCUUCCAUCCCCAGGCCAAAAGGCCAUGGUCCCUAUUCUCUUAGCAGCACUGCCAAGAGAUGGCUGAGGGGAAUGGUUGAGGAGGCCUGUUCUGGAGCGCCACCACUUACCAGCUGUGUUACUUGAACUAAUGAACCUCCUAGAACCUCAGUUUUACCCGAUAAAAUGAGGACCAUGAUGAUGUGAAAUGCAUAGACCCAUUGUAUUAAAACUAAUCAACAAAAAAUCAUGAAUGCCUCCUACGUGUUAGGAACAAAGUUCAA